ACAGUCAUAGGACAUCAUGUUACACAAUACAUUUAUGUUUUGUUCGAUAAUAUGCAUAUUUAUAUCCACAAAUCUCGGUUUACAUUGGCGCCAUGUUCAGAAAUGCCUCCAAAAUAUCCGAAGUAAUUACAGAGAGCUAAAUAAGAGAAAGUCAAAUAACAGAAAUACUCAUCAUAAACUUUGAUGAAAGAUACAUAUUUUACAUAUAAUUAAAUGAUACACUUGUUCUUAAUGCAACCGCUGUGUCAGAUUUUUUUUUUUAAAUUACGAAAAAAGCUUACCAUGCAAUAAUCUGAGACGGCGCUCAGAAGUAACAAUAUUUCUCCGCAUGUUGGAGUCAACAGAAAUACGAAAUUACAUCAUAAAUAUUCCCUUACCUUUGAUGAUCUUUCAUCAGAAUGCAGUGCCAGGAAUCCUAGUUCUGCAAUACAUCAUUGUUUUGUUCGAUAAUGUCCAUUACUAGUGUCCAAUUAGCUACUUUUGCUAGCACGUUUAGUUCACAUGUCCAAAAGCUGGCGCUGGUCCAGGCAAACUCGGACAAAAAGUUAUAUUCCAGGUCGGAUAAACUGGUCAAACUAAGUAGAGAAUCAAUCUUCAGGAUGUUAUUAUCAUAUAUAUCCAAUAACGUUCCAACCGGAGCAUUCGUUUUUGUCUACAGAGUAAUGGAACGCAUGGCGAUAUCAUAAGUAAUAGGCAUGACCAGGAAUUGGCAUUCUGCCAGACCACUGACUCAAAUAGCUGCCAUCCGUGCCCACAUCACACUAGAGGCUUCAUUCCACGUACUACUGACUGUUGACAUCUAGUGGAAGGCCUAAGGAGUGCGAAAAGAUCCAUAUCUUACUGGGAUGUGAAUAGGCGAUGAGUUGAAAAUCAACCAGCCCCAGAAUUUUCCACUUCCUGUUUGGAAGUUUGCCUGCCCUAUGAGUUCUGUUAUAUUCACAGACAUAAUUCAAACAGUUUUAGAAACUUCAGAGUGUUUUCUAUCCAAUAGUAAUAAUGCUAUGCCUAUAUUAGCAUCUGGGACAGAGUAGGAGGCAGUUCACUAUGGGCACGCAAUUCAUCCAAAGUAAAAAUGAAGCCCCCUAUCCCUGAAAAGAUUGAUCUCUUCCAUGUGCCUCUCCUCUCCCCUAAAAAGUUAACCUUUCAAGCGCAGGCGAGCCGCUCGCGACCCACCUCGACAACAUCUGGUGAAAUUGCAGAGCGCGAAAUUCAAAUUACAGAAAUAUAAAUAUUUAACAUUCAUGAAAAUACAAGUGUUAUACAUCAAAAUAAAGCUUAACUUUAUUUUAUUUUUAAUCCAGCCGCUGUGUCAAAUUUAAAAAAGGCUUUAUGGCGAAAGCACACCAUGCGAUUAUCUGAGGACAGUGCCCCGCACACAAAAGCAUGAAAAAAAAACAUUUUUUGUGUGUGAAUUUUACCCCUUUUUCUCCCCAAUUUUGUGGUAUGCUUCUUAACACAGCGCGCGUCCAACCCGGAAGCCAGCAGCACCAAUGUGUCGGAGGAGACACUGUGCACCUGGCAACCUUGGUUGGCACGCACUGCUCCUGGCCCGCCAUGGGAGUCGCUGGUGGGCGAUGAGACAGGGAUAUCCCUGCCGGCCAACCCCUCCCUAACCCAGACGACGCUAGGCCAAUUGUGUGUUGCCCCACGGGCCUCUCGGUCGCGGCUGGUUACGACAGAGCCUGGGCGUGAACCCAGGGUCUCUGGUGGCACAGCUGGCACUGCAGUACAAUGCCCUUAGCCACUGCGCCACUCGGGAGGCCCCUUGAAAAACAUUUUUCAUCCAGGCAGGUGCGCCAUGAAAGUCAGAAAUAACGAUAUAAUAAAUGCCUUACCUUUGAAGAUCUUCUUCUGUUGGCACUCCAAAAGGUCCCAGUUACAUCAAAAAUUGUAAUUUUGUUCGAUAAAGUCCUUCUUUAUAUCCAUAAAAACUCAGUUUAGCUGGCGCGCUUCAGUCAAUAAUCCACCGGUUUCCCUCCUUCAAAACGCAUACAAAAUGAAUUGCAAACGUUACCAAUAAACUUAUCCAAACAAGUCAAACAACGUUUAUAAUCAAACCUAAGGUACCCUAAUACGUAAAUAAAUGAUAAAAUUUAAGACGGAGAAUAGUAUGUUCAUUACCGGAGAUAAAUAACAAAGAACGAGCUUCAUCCACGAGCAUGGAAAGAGUACAGCCAAAAUGGGAGCCACUUAGAAAAACUACAACUUCGAGCUCAUUUUUCUAGUGGAAGCCCUAGGAACUGCAAUCUGGGAGGACUUCGCCUCAUAAUAAACAUGAAAGCCAUUGGAAACAGUGGUAGGCUGAAAUUCUAUAUAUUUUUUGAUGGUUUGUCCUCUGGGUUUCACCUGCCAUAGCAGUUCUGUUAUACUCACAGAUAUUAUUUUAACAGUUUUAGAAACUUUAGUCUUUUCUAUCCAAAUCUACCAAUUAUAUGCAUAUCCUAGCUUCCGGGCCUGUAACAGGCAGUUUACUUUGUGCACGCUUUUCAUCCGGAUGUGAAAAUACUGCCCCCUAGCCCAAAGAGUUGACACUUUUUUGGUUACUACAUGAUUCCAUAUGUGUUAUUUUAUAGUUUUGAUGUCUACACAUAGUAAGAAAAAGACCUUGAAUGAGUAGGUGUGCCCAAACCUUUGACUGGUACUAUACAUUGAUUGUUUAAAAAAAAUCUUUGCUACACAAUGAUAUGUAACAUACAUUUCCCUAAAAUAAUCUAAUCUGUCAAUGAUUGGAUUUAUUGCAACCUUUACUGAGAAGGCUGACUUGCAUUCUGAAUGUAAAUUGUGGGAAAUGUAAAAUUGCUGGAAAUUAUUUAUCUUAAUAAAUGGACACCAAUAGAGAUUGGAUGUCACAACCAAGCCACCAUAAUACAACACAUUAAGAAAUACGUAAAUUAGAUUUUACAACUCAAAUGGGACCAUAUAGACCCCAUAAUAGUGUUAAGUUUGCCAAAAUAGAAGUUGAAUUAACCGUUGUGAUCAUAUGAGUCAACAUUACUCUAAAUAAUAAACUUUAGAAUACUGAACAACAAAGUAACAGAGAUAUUUUCAAUUAAUAGUGUAGAGUGAAAUGCAAUGACGCAGAGUUAAAUAUCAACAAUAAAUUGAACAUAUUCAACUCUGAAACUAAAGACUCUGUUGCCAGAGUAGGUUUUACUCUCUUUAGACUGAUACCAAAUGUUAUCUGUGGCAGAGUUACAUUUUCUUCAACAAGAGUUCAAUUUACUGUCAUUUUUAUUCUGCGGGCUAUCCGGUGCACCAGUAUCUAUAGGUAGACUUUAUCUGUAUGCUUUAUCCCUCCAGCUAUCCAAUAAAUAUGGCUCCAUCUUUACAGUUCACUUUGGACCCACAAAAGUGGUCAUCCUGGCAGGAUACAAACCAAAUCAAAUGUAUUUAUAUAGCCCUUCUUACAUCAGCUGAUAUUUCAAAGUGCUGUACAGAAACUCAAUCUAAAACCCCAAACAGCAAGCAAUGCAGGUGUAGAAGCACAGUGGCUAGGAAAAACUCCCUAGAAAGGCCAAAACUUAGGAAGAAACCUAGAGAGAAACCAGGCUAUGGGGGGUGGCCAGUCCUCUUCUCGCUGUGUCGGGUGGAAAUUAUAACAGAACAUGGCCAAGAUGUUGAAAUGUUCAUAAAUGACCAGCAGUGUCAAAUAAUAAUAAUCACAGUAGUUUUCGUGGGUGCAACAAGACAGCAACUCAAGAGUAAAUGUCAGUUGGCUUUUCAUAUCCGAUCAUUGAGAGUAGCUUUACCGCUCCUGCUGUCUCUAGAGAGUUGAAAACAGCAGGUCUGAGACAGGUAGCACGUUCGGUGAACAGGUCAGGGUUCCAUAGCCGCAGGCAGAACAGUUGAAACUGGAGCAGCAGCACGGCCAGGUGGACUGGGGACAACAAGGAGUCAUCAUGCCAGGUAGUCCUGAGGCAUGGUUAGGGCUCAGGUCCUCCGAGAGAGAGAAAGAAAGAGAGAAAGAGAAUGAGAGAGAGCAUACAGUGGGGAGAACAAGUAUUUGAUUGAUACACUAGCGAUUUUGCAGGUUUUCCUACUUACAAAGCAUGUAGAGGUCUGUCAUUUUUAUCAUAGGUACACUUCAACUGUGAGAGACGGAAUCUAUAACAAAAAUCCAGAAAAUCACAUUGUAUGAUUUUUAAGUAAAUAAUUUGCAUUUUAUUGCACGACAUAAGUAUUUGAUCACCUACCAACCAGUAAGACUUCCGGCUCUCACAGACCUGUUAGUUUUUCUUUACGAAGCCUUCCUGUUCUCCACUCAUUACCUGUAUUAACUGCACCUGUUUGAACUCGUUACCUGUAUAAAAGACACCUGUCCACACACUCAAUCACACAGACUCCAACCUCUCGACAAUGGCCAAGACCAGAGAGCUGUGUAAGGACAUCAGGGAUACAAUUGAAGACCUGCACAAGGCUGGGAUGGGCUACAGGACAAUAGGCAAGCAGCUUGGUGACAACUGUUGGCGCAAUUAUUAGAAAAUGGAAGUAGUUCAAGAUGACGGUCAAUCACCCUCGGUCUGGGGCUCCAUGCAAUGAUCAUGAGGAAGGUGAGGGAUCAGCCCAGAACUACACGGCAGGACCUGGUCAAUGACCGGAAGAGAGCUGGGACCACAGUCUCAAAGAAAACCAUUAGUAACACACUACGCCGUCAUGGAUUAAAAUCCUGCAGCGCACGCAAGGUCCCCCUGCUCAAGCCAGCGCAUGUCCAGGCCCGUCUGAAGUUUGCCAAUGACCAUCUGGAUGAUCCAGAGGAGGAAUGGGAGAAGGUCAUGUGGUCUGAUGAGACAAAAAUAGAGCUCUUUGGUCUAAACUCCACUCGCCGUGUUUGGAGGAAGAAGAAGGAUGAGUACAACCCCAAGGACACCAUCCCAACCGUGAAGCAUGGAGGUGGAAACAUCAUUCUUUGGGGAUGCUUUUCUGCAAAGGGGACAGGACGACUGCACCGUAUUGAGGGGAGGAUGGAUGGGGCCAUGUACGCGAGAUCUUGGCCAACAACCUCCUUCCCUCAGUAAGAGCAUUGAAGAUUGGUCGUGGCUGGGUCUUCCAGCAUGACAACGACCCAAAUCACACAGCCAGGGCAACGAAGGAGUGGCUCCAUAAGAAGCAUCUCAAGGUCCUGGAGUGGCCGAGCCAGUCUCCAGACCUGAACCCAAUACAUAAUCUUUGAAGGGAGCUGAAAGUCCAUAUUUCCCAGCAACAGCCCCAAAACCUGAAGGAUCUGGAGAAGGUUUGUAUGGAGGAAUGGGCCAAAAUCCCUGCUGCAUUGUGUGCAAACCUGGUCAAGAACUACAGGAAACGUAUGAUCUCUGUAAUUAGAAAAAAUAAUCCAUGCUUUUGUCGCUUCUAGGUUAGACUACUGCAAUGCUCUACUUUCCGGCUACCCGGAUAAAGCACUAAAUAAACUUCAGUUAGUGCUAAACACGGCUGCUAGAAUCAUGACUAGAACCAAAAAAAAGUAUCAUAUUACUCCAGUGCUAGCCUCCCUACACUGGCUUCCUGUCAAAGCAAGGGCUGAUUUCAAGGUUUUACUGCUUACCUACAAAGCAUUACAUGGGCUUGCUCCUACCUAUCUCUCUGAUUUGGUCCUGCUGUACAUACCUACACGUACGCUACGGUCACAAGACGCAGGCCUCCUAAUUGUCCCUAGAAUUUCUAAGCAAACGGCUGGAGGCAGGGCUUUCUCCUAUAGAGCUCCAUUUUUAUGGAACGGUCUGCCUACCCAUGUCAGAGACGCAAACUCGGUCUCAACCUUUAAGUCUAUACUGAAGACUCAUCUCUUCAGUGGGUCAUAUGAUUGAGUGUAGUCUGUCCCAGGAGUGGGAAGGUGAACGGAAAGGCUCUGGAGCAACAAACCGCCCUUGCUGUCUCUGCCUGGCCGGUUCCCCUCUUUCCACUGGGAUUCUCUGCCUCUAACCCUAUUAGAGGGGCUGAGUCACUGGCUUACUGGGGCUCUCUCAUUCCGUCCCUGGAAGGGGUGCAUCACCUGAGUGGGUUGAUUCACUGAUGUGGUCAUCCUGUCUGGGUUGGCGCCACCCCUUGGGUUGUGCCAUGGCGGAGAUCUUUGUGGGCUAUACUCAGCCUUGUCUCAGGAUGGUAAGUUGGUGGUUGAAGAUAUCCCUCUAGUGGUGUGGGGGCUGUGCUUUGGCAAAAUGGGUGAGGUUCUAUCCUUCCUGUUUGGCCCUGUCCGGGGGUGUCCUCGGAUGGGUCCACAGUGUCUCCUGACCCCUCCUGUCUCAGCCUCCAGUAUUUAUGCUGCAGUAGUUUAUGUGUCGGGGGACUAGGGUCAGUUUGUUAUAUCUGGAGUACUUCUCCUGUCCUAUUCGGUGUCCUGUGUGCGUUCUCUAAUUCUCUCUUUAUCUCUUUCUUUCUCUCUCUCGGAAGACCUGAGCCCCAGGACCAUGCCCCAGGACUACCUGACAUGAUGACUCCUUGCUGUCUCCAGUCCACCUGGCCGUGCUGCUGCUCCAGUUUCAACUGUUCUGCCUUAUUAUUAUUCGACCAUGCUGGUCAUUUAUGAACAUUUAAACAUCUUGGCCAUGUUCUGUUAUAAUCUCCACCCGGCACAGCCAGAAGAGGACUGGCCACCCCACAUGUGCUCUCUCUAAUUCUCUCUUUCUUUCUCUCUUUCUUUCUCUCUCUCGGAGGACCUGUGCCCUAGGACCAUGCCCCGGGACUACCUGACAUGACUCCUUGCUGUCCCCAGUCCACCUGGCCGUGCUGCUGCUCCAGUUUCAACUGUUCUUCCUUAUUAUUAUUCAACCAUGCUGGUCAUUUAUGAACAUUUGAACAUCUUGGCCAUGUUCUGUUAUAACCUCCACCCAGCACAGCCAGAAGAGGACUGGCCACCCCACAUAGCCUGGCUCCUCUCUAGGUUUCUUCCUAGGUUUUGGCCUUUCUAGGGAGGUUUUCCUAGCCAACGUGCUUCUACACCUGCAUUGCUUGCUGUUUGGGGUUUUAGGCUGGGUUUCUGUACAGCACUGAGAUAUCAGCUGAUGUACGAAAGGCUAUAUAAAUAAAUAAAUUGGCUUUGAUUUGAUUUAAAAUGCAUUGUAAUUGUAUGUAUGUAGUAUAAGGAAUCAGGCAACAAACAUUUACAUGACAACAACCUAAUUUAUUCUGUUUUCUGCUGUUACUGACACCACAGGGACAACCCUACGCUGGGUUUUGAUGCUAAUGACCAAGAACCCCCUUAUACUGGACCGGGUCCAGGAGGAGAUCAGUAGCGUCAUAGGAAGUUGUCAGCCCUUGGUAGAGGACAGGAAGAACCUGCCCUACACUGAUACAGUGAUCCUUGAGACCCAGAGACUAGCCAACAUUUUACCCAUGGCCAUCCUUCACACCACUAGCAGAGACAUCACCUUCCAGGCAUCAUCUUCCACUUCAUCAAGAAGGGGACGCUUGUUUCCUCUACUGACAUUUGUCCUACAAGACAGAGCGAAUGGGAGAGCUCACACACCUUUGACCUUACCCACUUUCUGGAUGAGGAAGGUCGAUUUGUCAAGAUGGAUGCCUUCAUGCCCUACUCUGCAGAUGAUUCCACUGUUUAAUUUAAACUAUCAGUCAGGAAUUAAAUAAAUCCGAUAUCAUUCUAUGGUGCUCAUUACUUUGGCCCAGAGAAAGUUGAGGGGAUGGAAGUUUCUGUGACAAAUAUCGAUAUUGAUAACACUAAGUAAAUAAUUCAAAAUCCAUGGUCUUCUAAACCUUUUGGGCAUUGCUUUGACCCAGAUAUGUUAUGGUAUAGCUGAUGAUAUAAAAAUGUGUGAACAAUUUUACAUACAGUGGGGAGAACAAGUAUUUGAUACACUGUCGAUUUUGCAGGUUUUCCUACUUACAAAGCAUGUAGAGGUCUGUCAUUUUUAUCAUAGGUACACUUCAACUGUGAGAGACGGAAUCUUAAAACAAAAAUCCAGAAAAUCACAAUGUAUGAUUUUUAAGUAAUUUAUUCACAUUUUAUUGCAUGACAUACGUAUUUGAUCACCUACCAACCAGUAAGAAUUCCGGCUCUCACAGACCUGUUAGUUUUUCUUUAAGAAGCCCUCCUGUUCUCCACUCAUUACCUGUAUUAACUGCAUAUAGAUAUAUAUACACACAUGAUAUAUAUGUAUGUGUCAACUACUGAACAUUAGCUAGAAUUUAUACAGGUAAUGAGUUCAAAUAGGUGCAGUUAAUAAAGGUAAUGAGUGGAGAACAAGAAGGCUUCUUAAAGAAAAACUAACAGGUCUGUGAGAGCCUGAAUUCUUACUGGUUUGUAGGUGAUCAAAUACUUAUGUCAUGCAAUAAAUGUUUUAUGGUAUUUUUAUGAAUAAUGAUUAAAUUAUGUAUACAUUUCAAUCAGAACUAUGACUAAACAGAAUACUUCUAUGUUACUGUAUGGAUGUAUGAAUCUCCAGGCUCUGAUCAGGCUCCAGGCUCUGAUCAGGCCCUACACCCAAACAAGGGCACUGCGUUCAUCCACCUCUGGCCUGCUCGCCUCCCUACCACUGAGGAAGUACAGUUCCCGCUCAGCCCAGUCAAAACUGUUCGCUGCUCUGGCCCCCCAAUGGUGGAACAAACUCCCUCACGACGCCAGGACAGCGGAGUCAAUCACCACCUUCCGGAGACACCUGAAACCCCACCUCUUUAAGGAAUACCUAGGAUAGGAUAAAGUAAUCCUUCUCACCCCCCUUAAAUGAUUUAGAUGCACUAUUGUAAAGUGGCUGUUCCACUGGAUGUCAUAAGGUGAAUUCACCAAUUUGUAAGUCGCUCUGGAUAAGAGCGUCUGCCAAAUGACUUAAAUGUAAAUGUAAUCUUAUUGUAAUCAUAGUACUGAAUAUAAUGUGUGUAAUUAUAAUCAAGAAUUAGAACAAAGACUGUCUGUUCCUUGGUAGAAACGAAUGAAGUUAUCGUCAGACUGGCUAGAAUGCUGUGUUCCUUACAGGACAUCUUAUCUCCACACAGGGAGAGGAGAGACCUUGGGCUAGUAGUAAAUUAUCUAACAGGUGGUGGACGAUGUGGGAAGGCUUGUGAACUAUACUGUCAUUGUAUCGGAGUGGAGGAAGGCCAAUUUAAAACCUAUGAUGUCAUUUUUAGUUUAUAACCUGUUGUAAAUUGUACCAUGAUCUGUACUCUCGAGAAUAAACGCUAUUGAUUGAUUUUCA